rnacentral:rRNA from 1 species
UACAGAGGGUGCGAGCGUUAUUCGGAAUUACUGGGCGUAAAGCGCGCGUAGGCGGCUUUGCAAGUCGGGUGUGAAAUCCCCAGGCCUAACCUGGGAACUGCAUUCGAGACUGCAUGGCUAGAGUAUCGGAGAGGGAAGUGGAAUUUCCUGUGUAGCGGUGAAAUGCGUAGAUAUAGGAAGGAACACCAGUGGCGAAGGCGACCACCUGGACUGAUACUGACACUGAGGUGCGAAAGCGUGGGGAGCAAACAGG